rnacentral:piRNA from 1 species
UGGCUUGCUUUAAAUGAACUCCCUUGUCCUU